AGUGCACAUCAUACAUUUGUGUUGUACAUGAUUCUCCUGCUGCUGUGACUCUUUUAUGUGGUAGAAGCAGUGCUUGUAAGAAGCUGAUGCUGGCAUCAGUUGUUAAUAUUGCUGCUGCUGAUGUUGCUGUUGAUGUUGUUGUUAUUGUGGAAGAGGAGGAGGGGGAGGAGGGGAGUUGGGUGUUCGAGGAGUUUGAUGGCUGGUUCUUCGACUUGGAACAACACUCAACAGUUGGGUGUAUGAAGGAAUGUCAAUGCUGGAGUAUAAACUGACGCGUGAAUAAGGAGAGGGAAUCGAAGCUGGUGAAGAAGCUGUGUUGGACGGAGAUCGAUAUCUUCCGGUGCUCCUUCUCGGGGCUGCUGCCGUCGCCUCAACACCGUUCGAGGCAGACUCCUCCGCUCUACUGCCAUCACCGCGUUGUUGCGGAUUGCUCGCUCCCGACGUAAUGUGCUGGUGGGGUGCAGCUGACGACGGCAUGGAAGCAUACACAUGAGGAGCGAAUUCAGCUUGGUCUGUAUAAGAAACGGAAUGACUGGGAUCACCCGUGUUUGAGGCCCAUGGCGAUCUCUUCAUGGAGCCGAAGACGGGAGGAGGGCGCGCAGCGGGAUCCCCCACCAACAGAUCAACACAGUCGCCACCGUUCGAAUUUUCUCGGACAGGAGAUUCAUGCUUUAACACCUGGACUGCCGACGAGGAGGCCAUGCUGUUUGCAACGACAGUAGGGAUGGGUGUGAGCAUUGGCAGGAUCUGAUGGACGAGGCCGAGCCGGAGGAAUUCUGUUGGUUUGCAAAAUAGGAGGAACAACUUUCAAUUUGGGAAUGUUUUGAUUGACAUGAGACCGAUGAAGAUUUUCAGUAUCAGGAGCAUAAGGUAAUGGAGAAGGCAUCUUAAGCUCCGAGUCAUUGUUCAGUUGCGAUCUGUGAUUGGAGUCAUUCUGUUCCUCUUGAUCAUCUAAAAACAUAUCCAAAUCAUACAUAUCAAUCUUUGUGGAUGCAAGCCGUGUGAGUUUAGACAUAGCUGGAUUUGCCCUCAGGACUUUCUUCUUUGGUUUCUUAGAGGUAGUUUUUGAUUGAGGUUUUUUCUUGAGGUCUUUCGGAGGUUUUAUUUGAAUAGGUAUCACUUGUUGUCGUGUUGGUGCUAAAGACAAUCGCUUUGCCAAACUUUUCCAAAAAGAAACCAAUUUUUCUUCUUCAGCAAUGCCUAGGGCUUCAACUAUCUCACAUGGUUUUGCGAACUGGUUUGGAGCAGAUAGCUUCACAUCUUUUUGCUCAUUUUCUUCAAUGUCAAUAGCUUUAUUGAAUUAAUGAAAAAUAUGAAUGUGAAACUUUUAUGUACUUCAAUGAUGUUCAACAAUAAAAAUAUGGACACAACUUAAUCUUUCUUUAUUGAAA